rnacentral:rRNA from 1 species
UGGGGAAUAUUGGACAAUGGGCGAAAGCCUGAUCCAGCAAUGCCGCGUGAGUGAUGAAGGCCUUAGGGUUGUAAAGCUCUUUUACCAGGGAUGAUAAUGACAGUACCUGGAGAAUAAGCUCCGGCUAACUCCGUGCCAGCAGCCGCGGUAAUACGGAGGGAGCUAGCGUUGUUCGGAAUUACUGGGCGUAAAGCGUACGUAGGCGGUUAUUCAAGUCAGAGGUGAAAGCCCGGGGCUCAACCCCGGAACGGCCUUUGAAACUAGAUAGCUAGAAUCUUGGAGAGGUCAGUGGAAUUCCGAGUGUAGAGGUGAAAUUCGUAGAUAUUCGGAAGAACACCAGUGGCGAAGGCGACUGACUGGACAAGUAUUGACGCUGAGGUACGAAAGCGUGGGGAGCAAACAGGAUUAGAUACCCGUGUAGUCCCUGAGCGGGCUGGCAAGGCGCAU